rnacentral:rRNA from 1 species
UACGGGGGGGGCAAGCGUUGUUCGGAAUCACUGGGCGUAAAGCGCACGUAGGCGGAUCGUUAAGUCAGGGGUGAAAUCCUGGAGCUCAACUCCAGAACUGCCCUUGAUACUGGCGACCUUGAGUUCGGGAGAGGUGAGUGGAACUGCGAGUGUAGAGGUGAAAUUCGUAGAUAUUCGCAAGAACACCAGUGGCGAAGGCGGCUCACUGGCCCGAUACUGACGCUGAGGUGCGAAAGCGUGGGGAGCAAACAGG